GCCAGGUGUGGUGACACGUGCCUGCAGUCCCAGCUGCUCGGGAGGCUGAGGCUGGAGGAUCGCUUGAGUCCAGGAGUUCUGGGCUGCAGUGCACUAUGCUGAUUGGGUGUCCACACUAAGUUCGGCAUCAAUAUGGUGACUUCCCGGGAGCGGGGGACCACCAGGUUGCCGAAGGAGGGGUAAACCUGCCCAGGUCAGAAACGGAGCAGGUCAAAACUCCCAUGCUGAUCAGUAGUGGGAUUGUGCCUGUGAAUAGCCACUGCCCUCCAGCCUGGGCAACAGAGGGAAACCCCAUCUCU
rnacentral:SRP_RNA from 1 species